GUGUUCACUUCGGCAGCACAGAUACUAAAACUGGAAUGAUACGGAGAAGAUUAGCAUGGCCCCUGCGCAAGGAUGAAGAAAAAAAAAGACUUAAGCACUCUGU